UUGUCACCUUAACUUUAUUAUAGAUACAAAGACCAUUUAUUAGAAACGGUGGUUUCUCAUUCUUUUAUAACGUAUACCUACGACGGAGUUUGACUAUAUGUAAAGUUGUAACGCUCUAGGAAGCUCACUUAAAAUGGAUGAACUCGAUCCUAUCCAUCUUUCUCAGCGUUUUCGUAAACUUCUAAUUGAAACUAAUUUUGAUCAAGUAGCUGAUAGCACUUAUUAUGAGUGGGCAUGUUCAGAUCCAAUUGGAAAGCCGAUUAUAGCUUUUCUAUGUGACAAUAUUUCUGAAGCUAAUAUUAUAACACAAGAGCAGCUUGAAUUAUUUUCCUCUUUUAAAAAUGGUGACUUGGAGGAUCCGUCAUCUUUUUCGAUAGAUAAAAA